CCACGUGUGGGAAGAAGCAUUUCGGUGUGUAACCCCCUGUCGUGAGGGAAUAAGCCCGUCUUUCGGCGCGAUUGAAUGUACCUCGAGAGGAAGCACCGGCAAACUUCGUGCCAGCAGCCGCGGUAAUACGAGGGGUGCAAGCGUUGUUCGGAAUCACUGGGCGUAAAGGGAGCGUAGGCGGAAAUUCAAGCGGAUUGUACAAUACCGGGGCCCAACCCCGGACCUGCAGUCCGAACUGGAUCUCUUGGAUAGUUCAGGGGCAAGGCGGAAUUCC
rnacentral:rRNA from 1 species